UGUUAUUCCUUUGCUUCACCUUCCAUUUUCCAUGCAGAAAUUGCAUCUGCUGUCUUAACAUUUACGAAUAUUGUUACCUAUAGUAAAUCAUGAUGAUGCAACACAAUUGUUGAGUUGUCAACAUUAUCAGCCCGUAGACUUUCUGAAGAGGCCUUUGCGAAACUAUAAUAUGACGCUGGUAUAUACUUGUGAGCUUGGGUAGCUUUCAUCAUCGAAAGGAUUUGUUGAGACUCUGGGAACGAACAGGAAGCCUUGUGACUUGAGUUUGCAUAAUUGCAUGUAACAAUAAGUAAUUUCUUGUGAUUCUAAUCACUGUUGAGAAAAAUGUACAGAAGAAGCAUUAGGCUAAGUGCAAUUGCCAAAUUACGUUGGCAGUUUCUUAGACUAUUUCAUAUUGGCAAUUGGUAAGGUGUCAGUAGUGUAGGUCUUGAAUUAGUGACCUCAAAAGUAUACUAAUGUAGACAGACGUUACGUUUGUUUAACAUUUGUCAAUUCAACUACUACUACUACCUUUGUUUCAUAU